rnacentral:tRNA from 2 species
GGGUCCAUAGCUCAGUGGUAGAGCAUUUGACUGCAGAUCAAGAGGUCACCGGUUCGAAUCCAGUUGGGCCCU